AGUGAACGCUGGCGGUAGGCCUAACACAUGCAAGUCGAACGGCAGCACAGUAAGAGCUUGCUCUUACGGGUGGCGAGUGGCGGACGGGUGAGUAAUACAUCGGAAUCUACUUUUUCGUGGGGGAUAACGUAGGGAAACUUACGCUAAUACCGCAUACGACCUACGGGUGAAAGCAGGGGAUCUUCGGACCUUGCGCGAUUGAAUGAGCCGAUGUCGGAUUAGCUAGUUGGCGGGGUAAAGGCCCACCAAGGCGACGAUCCGUAGCUGGUCUGAGAGGAUGAUCAGCCACACUGGAACUGAGACACGGUCCAGACUCCUACGGGAGGCAGCAGUGGGGAAUAUUGGACAAUGGGCGCAAGCCUGAUCCAGCCAUACCGCGUGGGUGAAGAAGGCCUUCGGGUUGUAAAGCCCUUUUGUUGGGAAAGAAAAGCAGCAGGUUAAUACCCCGCUGUUCUGACGGUACCCAAAGAAUAAGCACCGGCUAACUUCGUG
rnacentral:rRNA from 1 species